rnacentral:rRNA from 1 species
UAAUUGAAGAGUUUGAUCAUGGCUCAGAUUGAACGCUGGCGGCAGGCCUAACACAUGCAAGUCGAGCGGCAGCACAGAGGAACUUGUUCCUUGGGUGGCGAGCGGCGGACGGGUGAGUAAUGCCUGGGAAAUUGCCCGGUAGAGGGGGAUAACCAUUGGAAACGAUGGCUAAUACCGCAUAACCUCGUAAGAGCAAAGCAGGGGACCUUCGGGCCUUGCGCUACCGGAUAUGCCCAGGUGGG